GUGCUCGCUUUGGCAGCACACAUACUAAAAAUGGAAUUAAGCAGAGAAGAUCAGCAUGGCCACUUUGCAAGAAUGAUACACAAACUCCUGAAGCGUUCCAGAUUUUU